CCGGCACGGGUGAGUAACACGUAUCCAACCUGCCGUCUACUCUUGGACAGCCUUCUGAAAGGAAGAUUAAUACAAGAUGGCAUCAUGAGUCCACAUGUUUACAUGAUUAAAGGUAUUCCGGUAGACGAUGGGGAUGCGUUCCAUUAGAUAGUAGGCGGGGUAACGGCCCACCUAGUCUUCGAUGGAUAGGGGUUCUGAGAGGAAGGUCCCCCACAUUGGAACUGAGACACGGUCCAA
rnacentral:rRNA from 1 species